CCUUCCUCGGGCUGUGCCGCACCUCGGCCCUUUUGCUUGCCGCCAUCUGUGCGGUGGUGCCCAACGCAGGACUGGCGCUGCCCGCUGCCCGUGCCACACAGGACCCUUCUCCUAAAGCGCAAGAAGAAACCGUAGAAGGUAUUCCCCCAAAUAGGUUCCUGAUGGGAUGUGCCUCACGGAAAUGAGCAAAGGGACAAGAGAUGGGUGUGGUCCUGGAACUGUGGCACCCGUCUGGCAAGGAGAGAAGAGGUCAAUGUCGGCAACGGCUUACCUCGUCUCUGAGCUUCUCGAGUGUGCAGAAGACAGAUCCGGGUUCGCUUAAGCUACAGCUGGGGUUUCUGUUAAGUUUCUCAAGACCCGCCUAAGAGUGAACAGUAGCCAAAUCAUAUGCGGAUGUUCAACAGCGCACAGAUAGAUGUCUGUGCCCCUGACCCCUGCGUUGUUCAACUGUACUAUACGAGGAAAGAAGGAAAAAGGAAAUUAGGAAAGUAACACGGAAAUCAACCCGAAGGAAGCAGAAGGAAGGAAAAGAAGGCGAGAACAGAUACUAACGAGGCAGAAAGCCCAGAUGCUGACCCGCGGACUGAUUUGUUCCUGGUCCUUCGAGGUGGGCAGAGCCCACACCGGAAGGUUCCACGAGCCGGGCGUCCUGAGGCCGCACUGCAGCUUGUUGCGGAGAUUUCUGCCUCCGGAAGAGGCCCGUCCGUGUUGGCCCUUUCACGUGACCUUCCUAACUCAGCAGAGCGACCUGACGUUGUCUGGGCCUUGCUCCUCCCCCCCCCCCCCCCCCGGGGCUUUGCCAGUUGGGACCAUGUUGGGUUUGUGUUACUGUUCUCCGGGAGCGGCCAAGGGUCAGCUCCUUUGGUCCGCCUGGGGGGGGGGCGGGAUGGGGGGGCUGUUAGAAAUAUAGAGUCUCAGCCCCCCGCCCCCCAGCUCUGCUGAUUCAAAACCCACCUGGAGGAGGAAGAGCCUUGGAGGAUUCCCACAAGGCGUGAGAGACGCUGGUCUAGAAAGCUCGCCGGAGAGGAUGCCGAGUUUCACCUGAGCUUUUGGGAGCCACAGGCAGGUGCGCCCCGAAGGCCCCGUUCUCCGGCCAGUGAAGACCUGGGGUGUGUCCUCCCCGCCAUCCCCGCCUCCUGCCGCACCUCCCCUCACAGCGCUGGGGGCUGGGGGUGCUUCCACGCUCCCUUGUUCUUCUCCUCUUAGGCACCGGCUGGCCGCCCCCCGCCACCUUCCGCCAGGCUGUCCCAUAGCUUCAUUUAGGGGCGCUUGCGCCUGGGGCGUGGACACCCUCAUACCAGAGGGCGGGUAAAUGACCUUAACGCCGACUGACUCAUUGUCCCAGGAGGCAAGGGGGGAAGCACAUCCAGCUCUGGGGUGAACACGCAGAAACAUUAAAAGGGGUCAGAAGGGGAAGAGAGAAAGCAGGUCAUGUGCCUGCCAGGCGAGCUGGCCGAUCUCCCCUCCCAAGAGGGACGUACCAGGAGCUGGGCCGAGUCACCCCACCCUCCUGGCCAACUUCACCGGAAAGGCUGAGCGUCCCCCUCCACAUGGGGUAAACUGUGGCUUGUUCGUUCUGCCGCCCUUUGCAAGUUGGGAGGGGGGACCCUUGUGCGGUUAUAGAAAGAGCCUGGUUUCAGAGGAACAGUCGUCUCCUUCCCCCAUGUUAAGGCAGGGAAGUGGCCCAGCUCUGUCCGGAAGGAGGGCUUGAUGGCAGAGGAAUCCACGGCACGGCAAAGGCACAACCCCUUAUUGGUGGUGUCAGGGAUCCCGGCAUGUUUCAUCAGGGACUCCGCACACUGGACGUUCCAUCCUCCAUGGAGUGCUCAGGGAGGGGGGCCAGAACGGCCCCUGCGGCCCACCCGGGAGAGGUCACACUCAAGGACGCUUCUGCCAAAAUACUCUUUCUAAUGUUUAUUUAUUUUUGAGAGAGAGAGAGAGUCAGAGCUCACGUAAACUUGCCUUUCCCGUCUUUGGAAAUCUCGUUGUGAGCAAUGCAGUCGAGUCCUUCCAACUAAGCAAUCGGGGGAUGGCUGGCUGGCCCUGGGGAAGGCUCCGCUUCAGAGGAGGAGGGAGUAAGGAUGUACACUUUUCCCCCCUUAAACUCUGCCCAAUUUCAAAACUGCGCCUCUAGAAGCACCUGCCGUCACGCCGGUCGUGACCAUCAUCACGGUAGCUGAGGGGUAUUGGAGGUUCAGUCAGAGGCGGUGGACCGAGCUCUCCUGCCGCAGGAGAUGGUCAGCGCUGCGCGAGUCAGGGUCCGUGGGGAGGGGUAUGGUUGGCUCGUGGAGUCCGUGGGAACAGCGAAGGGGUGACCAGCCAACAGCUGGAGCCGCGUGGGACGAGGGGACCCCGUCGGGCACCUGUAGCCGCACCUCGCAAACCCAGCCUGUGCAAACGUCGCUUGUUCAAGUAGCCAUGGUGGCCCAAAGCAGUGUCGAUCCUGCUGGAACUGGAGGGUGUCCCCCUGCGAAGCCGACGGGCUCCCUCACGCGUAGGUCAUGUUUUUAAAAGAACAGAAUUGCCAAAUCUCCCCGACGUGGCGGCUUUCGACUUCUCACAGUGGCACGAUGGUGAUCUGAACCCUUCUGUGAGUUAUUUGCGAUGCUUCCCGCAGCUUAAUAGAAACCAAACAUUUACAAAUAAUAAGGCCACAGAGGCUCACUGAAAUGGCCUGUUUCUUUUCACGAGCCUGGGACCUCGCCAGCCUGACGCUGUCUUUAUCUGCGUUUACUGCUGACGUAUCAGUCAAGGUUUAGCCGGUCCUUAGCAGAGCCAGUCCUUCCAGAAGCUUCUCUGCCUACUGGUCCUCAUCCACAAGAGACUCGUGGCUACAUCAGGAGAAGGCGAGCAAAAGGAUCCAGCCCUACAGAGAAGGACGCCUAAGGCCGACCCCUGGAGGUGCUCCCCUCGCGUGGACUUCCCGGUGACGGUCCCUAUUUCAAACAUUCUCCUCGUCUGGCUCAGUCUCCCUGAGGUCGGCUGUCAUUUCUCCCCGAGGCUGAAGUGCUGUCGCUAUACAAGGGCCCUUUGAGUCUUCGUGGAGAGCUGGUAAUUGGGCUCGGAAGAGGGAAACAGGAGAACUUUCAUUAGGACAUUAUUUACUGGUUUAUUAGCCUGAAGAAUCAUGCUUUGAUGAAAAGUGCCGACAACGCGCUCAUGGAAAUGGCAUCCCCCAUCGGCAAUCCCGUGGGCCUCUCUUGGGAUCCUCGGGAUAGCUCGGCCUGCAGUUAUGAUGGAGACAUCACCUAUGAAAGCCGUUAUUCUCUAUGCCAAACCUUCCAUCAUUAUCAGGGUCUCAGAGCUUAAUUGUGUUCUAAGUGAAUUUUGAGACUCUGCCUUAAUUUUUCCACCAAUAGGCAAGUGGUCCAAUUGGAAAUAAGUACGGUUGACCUUUGAACAACAUGGGUUUGAACUGCACGGAUCCACUUAUAUGCGGGUUUUUGUCUUUUUUUUUUUUUUUUUUUUUUUUUUUUCUGGAAAAAGCUUUAUUGUUUCAUUUGGUCCACAGCUUGGGAGAGGACUCCGGGGUGGUUAAAAAGCUGCCAGCGGCUACAGGGAGAGGUGUCAAGGAGCCUUGACACCAGGGGGAUGCCAGAGGGGACUUCAAGGAUCAGAGGCUCCCACAUAUGCUCAAGGCUGAGCCUUUCCAAGAGAUACUCCACCAGCCCAGCCUGGGGGCCACCAGCCCGUGGAGGUGAGUCAGGUGGCGCCUGUCUUCUUGAUGAGUUUCACCUCCUUAUCCAGAAAGCAGUUCUCUGAAGUCACAGACGUGGGGGUCUGUGCGGGCAGACCCCUGGGUGUGCAGAUCCAAAGGGGUCUGGUUCAGUUUUCUCUAGGGCCGUGGCAGCUUCCCUGGCGUCCAAGGGUUUACUCCACUCAUCCUGGGACCACUUUGGUGCAUCCUGGAAGAGGGCACGGCUGCCAUGCUGGUUUUGCAUCUUCAAGAGAUGCCGGGUGCCCUGAGCUUUUCUUUGGCCAAAUGGAGGAAGAAGUGGCCCAUGGGCUCCUGAGCCCCAUCCCUGAGGUCAAAGAAGCCUAGAAGGAGGAGCAGGAGGCCCACACAUGCGCAUUGACCAGGUGGUCCUGGAAGCAGAGGAUGCCUGAGAAAACGUGGUUCCAAAGGGCUCAGUGGGAAAAAAGGUCGGAGGAUGGUCAGAGGUUGGAAGAAGGGGCACCAUCAAAUCAGCACUUUGCACAUUUCUAAAACAUACACUUUUAUUUAUGGCUGAUGCUUCAAUAAAGCCGGAAAACUAAUACAUGCUCUGUUAUUUUAUUUCGUAGACACUUUCAAAAGUUAGGACAAAUAUAAUUUUAUUUUGCAAAGCAUUUGCAAACGAAAUGAAAUCAUUUUGGUUUCGUGAUUGCAGUUCUAGACAUUGGCCACAAAACGGUAUCAAUGGACUCGCCAAAGAGAAACUCAACCUAUUUCCAGCGAUUUCAGUACCGUUUGAAUAAUACGCGGUCCCCCAAAGUAAUACCUUAAAGGACACCAUGCCUUCAACUACAAAAAUAUCAUCAUGUAAUUGUUUUUCUUUAGGAAAUAAUAUUUUAGAGUCACUCUGGCUCCUGUUUGUUCCUGAAAGGUAUACUUACGCAAGUCUACCGUAAGAAAAAAUAAGAUUUUUUUUAAGCCAUAGAAGAAUAUGUAUUGACAUGGAAAAUGUUAAUGGUGUACCGCUACAUGAAAUAUACAGGGUACAAAGCAGUAUAUACAGUUUAACACCAUUUUUAUGGAAAGAGAAAUGGCCAUAUAUACAAAAUCAUGCAUAGGAAAAAACCAGAAGGAUGUACAUAGCAAAUGUUGAUAACGGUUAUCUCUAGAGAGCAGAAUUAGAGGUGAUGAUGCAAUUUUUCCCAGGAAAUGUCACCUGCUCUCCGAACAGAAUCUGCUUCUAGCUAUUCUUUCUUGGGUGCGAUGAGCUUGAUAAAAUUCUUUUCAAAUGGACUCUGUUUCAUGAUACAUAUCUCCAAAUCAUACUGCUUUUCCCAUGUAAAAAGUAGAUGUUACUUACUCUUACAUACUGGCAUAUGGAGAAUAUUUGUUACUAAUACAAUAUACUAUCAAAUGUGCCACAGCCUCGGGGCACCUGGGUGGCUCAGUCGG